AACGAACGCUGGCGGCAUGCCUAACACAUGCAAGUCGAACGAAGUCUUCGGACUUAGUGGCGCACGGGUGCGUAACGCGUGGGAAUCUGCCCUUGGGUGCGGAAUAACUUCUCGAAAGGGAUGCUAAUACCGCAUAAUGUCGUAAGACCAAAGAUUUAUCGCCCAAGGAUGAGCCCGCGUAAGAUUAGCUAGUUGGUGGGGUAAAAAGCCUACCAAGGCGACGAUCUUUAGCUGGUCUGAGGGGAUGAUCAGCCACACUGGGACUGAGACACGGCCCAGACUCCUACGGGAGGCAGCAGUGGGGAAUAUUGG
rnacentral:rRNA from 1 species